CCCUUAGAUGUUCUGGGCCGCACGCGCGCUACACUGAUGCAUUCAACGAGCCUAUCCUUGACCGACAGGUCCGGGUAAUCUUUGAAUCUGCAUCGUGACGGGGAUAGAUUAUUGCAACUAUUAAUCUUCAACGAGGAAUGCCUAGUAGGCGCAAGUCAUCAGCUUGCGUCGAUUACGUCCCUGCCCUUUGUACACACCGCCCGUCGCUCCUACCGAUUGGGUGUGCUGGUGAAAUGUUCGGAUCGGCCGUUUGUCGCGGUUUCCGCGUCAUGUGGCUGAGAAGUUCAUUAAACCCUCCCACCUAGAGGAAGGAGAAGUCGUAACA
rnacentral:rRNA from 1 species